rnacentral:rRNA from 1 species
UACGUAGGUGGCGAGCGUUGUCCGGAUUUACUGGGCGUAAAGAGCGCGCAGGCGGUCGUCCAAGUCGCGUGUGAAAGCCCCCGGCUCAACUGGGGAGGGUCACGCGAUACUGAUCGACUCGAAGGCAGGAGAGGGAAGCGGAAUUCCCGGUGUAGUGGUGAAAUGCGUAGAUAUCGGGAGGAACACCAGUGGCGAAGGCGGCGAUCUGGGUCGAUACUGACGCUGAGGUGCGAAAGCGUGGGGAGCAAACAGG